rnacentral:rRNA from 1 species
GACGAACGCUGGCGGCGUGCUUAACACAUGCAAGUCGAACGGUGAACCUGCUUCGGUGGGGGAUCAGUGGCGAACGGGUGAGUAACACGUGGGCAACCUGCCCUCAGCUCUGGGAUAACUCCAAGAAAUUGGGGCUAAUACCGGAUAUUUCCGCUGACCGCAUGGUCUGGUGGUGGAAAGAUUCAUCGGCUGGGGAUGGGCCCGCGGCCUAUCAGCUUGUUGGUGGGGUAGUGGCCACCAAGGCGACGACGGGUAGCCGGCCUGAGAGGGUGACCGGCCACACUGGGACUGAGACACGGCCCAGACUCCUACGGGAGGCAGCAGUGGGGAAUAUUGCGCAAUGGGCGAAAGCCUGACGCAGCGACGCCGCGUGGGGAUGACGGCCU